AGUAUAAUGCAUGAGUCUGACGAGUCACCAAAUAUAGUAUAUCUUUAGUACAAUCCUACCUCCCCAUACCUUUAGCCCCACCGAAAAAAAUUUUGCAAAAGAAAAUAGUGCUAUUCCGAAAGUUUUCAGGUUUUAAAGACAUGUUUUGAGUAAGGAUGCGGUGACUUGGGAGAACUUUGCAAAACAUCAGUAUCUGUAUUAGCACCAUA
rnacentral:lncRNA from 1 species